AAGACCUGCCCAAUGUUUUAAUCAAUGGCCGCGGUAUUCUGACCGUGCGAAGGUAGCAUAAUCAUUAGUCUCUUAAUUAGAGGCUGGUAUGAACGGUUCAACGAGAAAGUAUCUGUCUCUUAUAUAAAAUUUGAAUUUUAUUUUUAGGUGAAAAAGCCUAAAUUCCUCUGGAGGACGAUAAGACCCUAUAGAGCUUCAUUUAUUUUAUAUUUUUCAGACCUAGUAUUUAUGAAAAUAAAUAAAAGAAUAAAUUUUGUUGGGGCGACAAAAAGACAAUACUUAACUCUUUCUUCUAUUAACAGAAAAAACUGAAAAAUUGAUCCUUAAAGAAAGAUCAUAUGAACAAGUUACCUUAGGGAUAACAGCGUAAUCCUUUUUGAGAGUUCACAUCGACAAAAGGGUUUGCGACCUCGAUGUUGGAUUAAGAAUUUGCUAAGGUGUAGCAGCUUUAGUAAAAGGUC
rnacentral:rRNA from 1 species